AUUGAACGCUGGCGGCAUGCUUUACACAUGCAAGUCGAACGGCAGCGCGGGCUUCGGCCUGGCGGCGAGUGGCGAACGGGUGAGUAAUGCAUCGGAACGUGCCCAGUAGUGGGGGAUAGCCCGGCGAAAGCCGGAUUAAUACCGCAUACGACCUGAGGGUGAAAGCGGGGACCGAAAGGCCUCGCGCUAUUGGAGCGGCCGAUGUCGGAUUAGCUAGUUGGUGGGGUAAAGGCUUACCAAGGCGACGAUCCGUAGCUGGUCUGAGAGGACGACCAGCCACACUGGGACUGAGACACGGCCCAGACUCCUACGGGAGGCAGCAGUGGGGAAUUUUGGACAAUGGGGGCAACCCUGAGCCAGCCAUGCCGCGUGCGGGAAGAAGGCCUUCGGGUUGUAAACCGCUUUUGUUCGGGAAGAAAUCCUCUGGGCUAAUACCCCGGGGGGAUGACGGUACCGGAAGAAUAAGCACCGGCUAACUACGU
rnacentral:rRNA from 1 species